GACGAACGCUGGCGGCGUGCCUAAUACAUGCAAGUCGAGCGCUGAAGGAUGGUACUUGUACCAACUGGAUGAGCAGCGAACGGGUGAGUAACGCGUGGGGAAUCUGCUUUUGAGUGGGGGACAAUAUUGGGAAACGAAUGACACUACUACAUAAAACCUUUAAAGACAGGAUUCAAGUUUGAAAGAUGCAUUUGCAUAAUUAAAAAACGAUCCCGCGUUGUAUUAGCUAGUUGGGGAGGUAAAGGCGCACCAAGGCGAUGAUACAUAGCCUAACUGAGAGGGUGAUCGGCCACAAUGGGACUGAGACACGGCCCAAACGCCUACGGGAGGCAGCAGUAGGGAAUCUUCGGCAAUAGACGAGAGUCUGACCGAGCAACGCCGCGGGAGUGAAGAAGGUUGUCGGAUCGUAAAACUCUGUUGGUAGGGAAGAAAGUUGGUGAGAGUGGAAAGCUCAUCAAGUGACGGUAACUACACAGAAAGGGACGGCUAACUACGUG
rnacentral:rRNA from 1 species